CAGCCGCCACGGUAAUACGUAGGGUGCAAGCGUUAAUCGGAAUUACUGGGCGUAAAGCGUGCGCAGGCGGUUCUAUAAGACAGAUGUGAAAUCCCCGGGCUCAACCUGGGAACUGCAUUUGUGACUGUAGAGCUGGAGUGCGGCAGAGGGGGAUGGAAUUCCGCGUGUAGCAGUGAAAUGCGUAGAGAUGUGGAGGAACACCGAUGGCGAAGGCAGCCCCCUGGGCCAAUACUGACGCUCAUGCACGAAAGCGUGGGGAGCAAACAGGAUUAGAUACCCCGGUAGUCCCUGUCUCUUAUAC
rnacentral:rRNA from 1 species